AUUGAACGCUGGCGGCAGGCCUAACACAUGCAAGUCGAGCGGAUGAAGGGAGCUUGCUCCUGGAUUCAGCGGCGGACGGGUGAGUAAUGCCUAGGAAUCUGCCUGGUAGUGGGGGAUAACGUCCGGAAACGGGCGCUAAUACCGCAUACGUCCUGAGGGAGAAAGUGGGGGAUCUUCGGACCUCACGCUAUCAGAUGAGCCUAGGUCGGAUUAGCUAGUUGGUGGGGUAAAGGCCUACCAAGGCGACGACCCGUAACUGGUCUGAGAGGAUGAUCAGUCACACUGGAACUGAGACACGGUCCAGACUCCUACGGGAGGCAGCAGUGGGGAAUAUUGGACAAUGGGCGAAAGCCUGAUCCAGCCAUGCCGUGUGUGUGAAGAAGGUCUUCGGAUUGUAAAGCACUUUGAGUUGGGAGGAAGGGCAGUAAGUUAAUACCUUGCUGUUUUGACGUUACCAACAGAAUAAGCACCGGCUAACUUCGUG
rnacentral:rRNA from 1 species